rnacentral:misc_RNA from 1 species
GAUGAAGAACGCAGCGAAAUGCGAUAAGUAAUGUGAAUUGCAGAAUUCAGUGAAUCAUCGAAUCUUUGAACGCACCUUGCGCUCCUUAGUAUUCUGAGGAGCAUGCCUGUUUGAGUGUCAUUAAAUUCUCAAUCCCUCUAGCUUUGCUGUUAGAGAUGAUUGGAUGUGGAGGUUUUGUGGGUGUCGAAAGAUAAUUACCACUCCUCUUAAAUGAAUUAGCUGGAAUGCCUUGGCAAAUCCAACUAUCAGUGUGAUAAAUAUCAAUGCUGUAGUCUGGUGCAUGAAGGGAAUCCGCUUCUUAAUUGUCGCAAGACAACAUUUGAAUCAUUUUGACCUCAAAUCAGGUAGGACUACCCGCUGAACUUAAGCAUAUCAAUAAGCGGAGGA